rnacentral:rRNA from 1 species
UGGGGAAUAUUGCACAAUGGGCGCAAGCCUGAUGCAGCCAUGCCGCGUGUAUGAAGAAGGCCUUCGGGUUGUAAAGUACUUUCAGCGAGGAGGAAGGCGAUGCGGUUAAUAACCGUGUCGAUUGACGUUACUCGCAGAAGAAGCACCGGCUAACUCCGUGCCAGCAGCCGCGGUAAUACGGAGGGUGCAAGCGUUAAUCGGAAUUACUGGGCGUAAAGCGCACGCAGGCGGUCUGUCAAGUCGGAUGUGAAAUCCCCGGGCUCAACCUGGGAACUGCAUUCGAAACUGGCAGGCUUGAGUCUUGUAGAGGGGGGUAGAAUUCCAGGUGUAGCGGUGAAAUGCGUAGAGAUCUGGAGGAAUACCGGUGGCGAAGGCGGCCCCCUGGACAAAGACUGACGCGCAGGUGCGAAAGCGUGGGGAGCAAACA